UGAUACAGAUAUAGAGGUAGGAGUGUAAAGGGUUAACACCCUAUAAUAAUGAUACAGAUAUAGAGGUAGGAGUGUAAAGGGUUAACCCUAUAAUAAUGAUACAGAUAUAGAGGUAGGAGUGUAAAGGGUUAACCCUAUAAUAAUGAUACAGAUAUAGAGGUAGGAGUGUAAAGGGUUAACACCCUAUAAUAAUGAUACAGAUAUAGAGGUAGGAGUGUAAAGGGUUAACACCCUAUAAUAAUGAUACAGAUAUAGAGGUAGGAGUGUAAAGGGUUAACCCUAUAAUAAUGAUACAGAUAUAGAGGUAGGAGUGUAAAGGGUUAACCCUAUAAUAAUGAUACAGAUAUAGAGGUAGGAGUGUAAAGGGUUAACACCCUAUAAUAAUGAUACAGAUAUAGAGGUAGGAGUGUAAAGGGUUAACACCCUAUAAUAAUGAUACAGAUAUAGAGGUAGGAGUGUAAAGGGUUAACCCUAUAAUAAUGAUACAGAUAUAGAGGUAGGAGUGUAAAGGGUUAACACCCUAUAAUAAUGAUACAGAUAUAGAGGUAGGAGUGUAAAGGGUUAACACCCUAUAAUAAUGAUACAGAUAUAGAGGUAGGAGUGUAAAGGGUUAACCCUAUAAUAAUGAUACAGAUAUAGAGGUAGGAGUGUAAAGGGUUAACCCUAUAAUAAUGAUACAGAUAUAGAGGUAGGAGUGUAAAGGGUUAACACCCUAUAAUAAUGAUACAGAUAUAGAGGUAGGAGUGUAAAGGGUUAACACCCUAUAAUAAUGAUACAGAUAUAGAGGUAGGAGUGUAAAGGGCUAACCCCCUAUAAUAAUGAUACAGAUAUA